UUAAUGCCAUUUUCUUCCUGUCUUACUCGCUUAUGACAACCCCAAUGAAGUUUUAAGCUGGACUUUGGCAGUAAUGUUAAGUAGAGAUUUUCUCGGCCAACUUCAUAUUAUUUAGGGUUCUAUUCUUCCUUCACCUUGAACACAGAUGUGCCAUUCUCUGCUUGGAUGCACGCAGAAUAUUCUUGCUCACAGAAUAACUCAGUUGAAGCCCUGAGCAUGUAAAAGGAGGCCUCUCUUAGCAGCUGGGAAGAGAGAGUGGAGAGAAAGAGGGAUCAGGACAGAUGUGGACACGGCAGAAGAAGAGGAGCCUGCUGUGACGGACUUCCUUGAAAUGACAAACAAAUGUUUAUUUCUAAUGAAUUGGACAUUACAUUUCCAAAGUUAUAAGAUGGCCAACAGACCAUAAAAAGACAAUUAUUUAGUCUCCUGCUUGAAACCAACAGCUUCAGCAAACUGCUGGCCUUGAAUCAGGAC